rnacentral:lncRNA from 1 species
UCUCCCUUUUUUUGGCUAUGUCUGCUACUGAUGUUCAUCGCCCAAGCCCUCGAUCCAUUCCCCACUUUGUCCUCUAGCCUAUACUUGAGUCCCAACCAUCGAUGAGCAGGCUGGUACCUAAAAAUCAUCAAGAAAAAGUAUCAUGCUUCCGAUUCGAGAUCGUGAGCUAGAGAUCAUGAUAACCUUCGCAUACUCAUAG